rnacentral:lncRNA from 1 species
CUUGCCUUCUCUUUCCUUCUCUUUCCUACUUAACAUUGUUACAAGUUACCGACCGUCCCUAAAGCAAGUGGCAAAGGGUUUGGUGGUUGGUACCCGAGAUCCAAGUUCGAAUCCUAGUUGAUUCACAUUUCCAGCUAAGUUUAUUUUUAAAUGAAAUAAGCGAAGCGGAUAGCGUGCUAUCUAUCUCUAAAAAAAAACAUUGUUAUAAGUUAGGGCAAUUUCUUAUAUACCCGAAAAAAUAUGCCUAAGUUUUUAAAUCUAAAUCUACCCCUCUAAAAUCUAAAAUCUUCCCAAUAAAUCCUC